GCUCUGGUGGUGUAGUAGUAACACAACCUGAGUUCAGAGGUCUGCCUCAACAAGCCCAGUCUGUGAGAUGUGGGUUCGAAUCCCUCCUAGGGUU
rnacentral:tRNA from 1 species